rnacentral:rRNA from 1 species
AUUGAACGCUGGCGGCAGGCCUAACACAUGCAAGUCGAACGGUAACAGAAAGCAGCUUGCUGCUUUGCUGACGAGUGGCGGACGGGUGAGUAAUGUCUGGGAAACUGCCUGAUGGAGGGGGAUAACUACUGGAAACGGUAGCUAAUACCGCAUAACGUCGCAAGACCAAAGAGGGGGACCUUCGGGCCUCUUGCCCUCGGAUGUGCCCAGAUGGGAUUAGCUAGUAGGUGGGGUAACGGCUCACCUAGGCGACGAUCCCUAGCUGGUCUGAGAGGAUGACCAGCCACACUGGAACUGAGACACGGUCCAGACUCCUACGGGAGGCAGCAGUGGGGAAUAUUGCACAAUGGGCGCAAGCCUGAUGCAGCCAUGCCGCGUGUAUGAAGAAGGCCUUCGGGUUGUAAAGUACUUUCAGCGGGGAGGAAGGGAGUAAAGUUAAUACCUUUGCUCAUUGACGUUACCCGCAGAAGAAGCACCGGCUAACUCCGUG